rnacentral:misc_RNA from 1 species
GAUGAAGAACGUAGUGAAAUGCGAAAAGUAGUGUGAAUUGCAGAAUUCAGUGAAUCAUCGAAUCUUUGAACGCACAUUGCGCCCCCUGGUAUUCCGGGGGGCAUGCCUGUCCGAGCGUCAUUACAACCCUCAAGCUCAGCUUGGUGUUGGGCCCCGCCGCCCCGGCGGGCCCUAAAGUCAGUGGCGGUGCCGUCCGGCUCCGAGCGUAGUAAUUCUUCUCGCUCUGGAGGUCCGGUCGUGUGCUCGCCAGCAACCCCCAAUUUUUUUCAGGUUGACCUCGGAUCAGGUAGGGAUACCCGCUGAACUUAAGCAUAUCAAUAAGCGGAGGA